CUUGAAAUGAUUUCACAGAGUGCUGUAGAGCUGAAGAAGCUCAUCAAAGGCCCUCAAAAGUAAUUGUGAGUACCAACGUGAAAUAUUUUUUUCUGGGAGGAUGGGCAGCAGACUUGACUUGCAAACUUCUCUUCAAAGACUGAAUAUGGAAAUGUAGGACAACUGCAUGGGAAUUUAAAGAUGACUUUCCCCUAAGAUAAUGAUGAAAGUGAAGGUGGAUGAGGAAAUUUCUAAGAAAAAAAAUGGAAUGGGGAAAGAAGGCAAUUAUCAAAAGGAGAAAAAUAAAAAUGAAUUUAAUACAUGCUUCGUUUCAAAACUAUGAACUGGAGAGGGCUUUUAUAUCUCCACAUAACAGCAAGCAGUUGUUCUAUGGAAGAUGCAAGAACCAAAAAAAAAAGGAAAAGAAAAGAAAAUCAGAGACAAGAGGAGGUAAAGGACAGAGAGACUCAAGGAAGCUCUUCCAAAAGGGUAUGCAGCAGACCUGUGAUGGAAGUACAAAAGAGAACCAUCAACUUUGGACCCAAAAGUGCUGUUCCACCAAUCACCUGAAAAGGCUUCCCCAAGGAAAGAUAGUCUCGGUCCAAAGUACCUUCAGCCACUCCUGUUACUGGCUUGCAAAGUAAUUCCUCAGACUCGGUGAUAAGGAGAAC
rnacentral:lncRNA from 1 species